CAUCUCCCAGACAGUACACACUACACACUACAUACUGCCGCAGCGGAGAACAGAGGACCGCGCAAACGAGCAGAAACAUUCAGAUCAUUUGGAGACACAAAAGCCAAACAGUGGAACCAUGUUUGGAUGCUGCAUUACCUCUUUUCUCUUUCUGUCGGCAACCUCUGAGUUUUUUGUGGCGGUCCUCUCAGAGAACAACACUGGAGGUACGGCACAAAAGAAUACCCCUGAAAUGGGCUUCACUCGUCACAAUAUUUUGACCGCCCAGUUUGAAUGCUACCAGAAGAUUAUGAAAGACACUAAUCACA